AUUGAACGCUGGCGGCAUGCUUUACACAUGCAAGUCGAACGGCAGCGCGGGCUUCGGCCUGGCGGCGAGUGGCGAACGGGUGAGUAAUACAUCGGAACGUGCCCAGUAGCGGGGGAUAGCGCGGCGAAAGCCGGAAUAAUACCGCAUACGACCUGAGGGCGAAAGCGGGGGAUCUUCGGACCUCGCGCUAUGGGAGCGGCCGAUGGCAGAUUAGCUAGUUGGUGGGGUAAAGGCCUACCAAGGCGACGAUCUGUAGCUGGUCUGAGAGGACGACCAGCCACACUGGCACUGAGACACGGCCCAGACUCCUACGGGAGGCAGCAGUGGGGACUUUUGGACAAUGGGCGAAAGCCUGAUCCAGCAAUGCCGCGUGUGUGAUGAAGGCCUUCGGGUUGUAAAGCACUUUUGGCGGGAACGAAAAGGACUGUGCCAAUACCACGGUUCGAUGACGGUACCCGCAGAAUAAGCACCGGCUAACUACGUG
rnacentral:rRNA from 1 species